GGGGUUGUGGUUUAGCGGUAAAGUAUUCACCUAGCACGUGCGAAGCCCUGAAUUCGAUCCUCAGCACCACA
rnacentral:tRNA from 1 species